rnacentral:rRNA from 1 species
UGGGCGCAAGCCUGGAUGCAGCCAUGCCGCGUGUGUGAAGAAGGCCUUCGGGUUGUAAAGCACUUUCAGUCGUGAGGAAGGCGGUGUAGUUAAUAGCUGCAUCGUUUGACGUUAGCGACAGAAGAAGCACCGGCUAWCUCCGUG